rnacentral:rRNA from 1 species
CAGUAGCCGCGGUAAUACGGAGGGGGCUAGCGUUGUUCGGAAUUACUGGGCGUAAAGCGCACGUAGGCGGCUUGGUAAGUUAGAGGUGAAAGCCCGGAGCUCAACUCCGGAAUUGCCUUUAAGACUGCCGAGCUAGCAGGUGAGAGAGGUAAGUGGAAUUCCGAGUGUAGAGGCGAAAUUCGUAGAUAUUCGGAAGAACACCAGUGGCGAAGGCGGCUUACUGGCUCAUACUGGACGCUGAGGUGCGAAAGCGUGGGGAGCAAACAGGAUUAGAUACCCCUGUAGUCCCUGUCUCUUAUAU